rnacentral:rRNA from 1 species
AAAUUGAAGAGUUUGAUCAUGGCUCAGAUUGAACGCUGGCGGCAGGCCUAACACAUGCAAGUCGAGCGGAAACGAGUUAUUUGAACCUUCGGGGAACG